CCACAUGUGGCUCAGUUGGUAGAGGAUGGUGUUUGCAACGCCAGGGUUGUGGGUUCGAUCCCACGGUGGA
rnacentral:tRNA from 1 species